AACAGAGUAAAAUACCAUAAAACUCUUUACCCAGACUACAAACCAUUCAUGUCCACUUAUCCCAUAAAAAAUACACUAAUGGGUAUUCAGCGGGUAGACCAGGUGUACACACCUAACCGACAACUUAUUGAUGGCCCCAGGUUCAGAGUCUUAUUCAAUAUGCUAGACAGCAAACUAUUUGACUCACAAACCAAUUCCAUAGUCUUUUAUGGCAUCUUACGCCCCUGCGAAUUUACCAUAGGUUUCUCAGUGGAGGCACCCCAAUGUUUGAAAUUCAGAGAUCUCAUUAGAACAGGAGAUCAUUACAAGAUUAUCAAACACAGCAAAACUAACCAAUCAGGUUGGCAGUAAAAAUUGGAUUUUAUCCCACAGGAAACCAAUGGUGUAUCAGCCCUAAACGGAUAUAGUCGGACUUUCACAGCUUAUUCAUGCAAUCCAUUCGUCCUAUACCGGUUCAGGGAUAUGCCGUUCGGGAUGAAGGACGCCCCAGCCACCAUCCAAUGGAUGGUAGAUCGCCUCCUAGAUCAGUGAUGGCUAAACACAGGUGGCACGCCGAGCCCCCUCUGUGGUCACGCGGCCACAGGUCGCCGGAGGGAGGGUGCGCUCCACCAGCACAUCCAUAAGGCGUCUCAAGUGGCCGCCUUAGGGUGCACUGGCCCGGCGGGCGCAAAACCGGAGUGACCGGCAGGUGGUGAGCGCAUAGCGCUCCCUCCUGCCAGGCACUCUGUCUAGCAUGGCCGAGCGCGCCGCAGUACAGGAACUUAUGUUUCCUGUACCCGGGCGGACAGAAAUGAAGUGCUCACAGAGAGAGCACUUCCUGUCCUGCCGGGUACAGGAAACUGAGCUCCGUGGUGCGCUCGGCCACGCUACAAGGUAGGAGAUCAAGGACAAGUGGGGGGGGUGAAUGAAAACUAAGGGAGGGAUGGGGGGGUAGAAAGAAAAUUGAAGGGGGAAUAAAACUGAGGGAGAU